rnacentral:rRNA from 1 species
ACGCUCGACACCUACGGGGGGCAGCAGUCGGGAAUAUUGCGCAAUGGAGGAAACUCUGACGCAGUGACGCCGCGUGCAGGAAGAAGGUUUUCGGAUUGUAAACUGCUUUAGACAGGGAAGAAAGAAAUGACAGUACCUGUAGAAUAAGCUCCGGCUAACUACGUGCCAACAGCCGCGGUAAUCUGAGCGGGCUGGCAAGGC